UACGAAGGGGGCUAGCGUUGUUCGGAAUCACUGGGCGUAAAGCGCACGCAGGCGGGUCGUUAAGUCAGGGGUGAAAUCCCGAGGCUCAACCUCGGAACUGCCUUUGAUACUGGCGACCUUGGAGUCCGGGAGAGGUGAGUGGAACUCCGAGUGUAGAGGUGAAAUUCGUAGAUAUUCGGAAGAACACCAGUGGCGAAGGCGGCUCACUGGCCCGGUACUGACGCUCAUGUGCGAAAGCGUGGGGAGCAAACAGG
rnacentral:rRNA from 1 species